GAUGAACGCUGGCGGCGUGCCUAAUACAUGCAAGUCGAGCGAACAGACGAGGAGCUUGCUCCCCUGACGUUAGCGGCGGACGGGUGAGUAACACGUGGAUAACCUACCUAUAAGACUGGGAUAACUUCGGGAAACCGGAGCUAAUACUGGAUAAUAUAUUGAACCGCAUGGUUCAAUAGUGAAAGACGGUUUUGCUGUCACUUAUAGAUGGAUCCGCGCCGCAUUAGCUAGUUGGUAAGGUAACGGCUUACCAAGGCGACGAUGCGUAGCCGACCUGAGAGGGUGAUCGGCCACACUGGAACUGAGACACGGUCCAGACUCCUACGGGAGGCAGCAGUAGGGAAUCUUCCGCAAUGGGCGAAAGCCUGACGGAGCAACGCCGCGUGAGUGAUGAAGGUCUUCGGAUCGUAAAACUCUGUUAUUAGGGAAGAACAAAUGUGUAAGUAACUAUGCACGUCUUGACGGUACCUAAUCAGAAAGCCACGGCUAACUACGUG
rnacentral:rRNA from 1 species